rnacentral:rRNA from 1 species
GUGGGGAAUCUUCCACAAUGGACGCAAGUCUGAUGGAGCAACGCCGCGUGAGUGAAGAAGGGUUUCGGCUCGUAAAGCUCUGUUGUUGGUGAAGAAGGACAGGGGUAGUAACUGACCUUUGUUUGACGGUAAUCAAUUAGAAAGUCACGGCUAACUACGUGCCAGCAGCCGCGGUAAUACGUAGGUGGCAAGCGUUGUCCGGAUUUAUUGGGCGUAAAGCGAGUGCAGGCGGCUCGAUAAGUCUGAUGUGAAAGCCUUCGGCUCAACCGGAGAAUUGCAUCAGAAACUGUCGAGCUUGAGUACAGAAGAGGAGAGUGGAACUCCAUGUGUAGCGGUGAAAUGCGUAGAUAUAUGGAAGAACACCGGUGGCGAAGGCGGCUCUCUGGUCUGUUACUGACGCUGAGGCUCGAAAGCAUGGGUAGCGAACAGG